CGAUGAGUUAGAGGCUGCAUCUUAUAAAAGUAAAACGGACGAGAUUCUGGAAAAUUAAAGACUCCGUUUGAAAGGAUAAGUUGCCGAAGUUAGGGUAUAUUCCAUGUAUAUUCUCGCUGGCGGUGUUACCGAACAGGAACACCACUGUCACGUUUUUCCAAAAAAGCGUGGGGAGCUAUCUUCGGA
rnacentral:ncRNA from 2 species